rnacentral:rRNA from 1 species
UACGAAGGGUGCAAGCGUUGUCCGGAAUCACUGGGCGUAAAGGGCGCGUAGGCGGCUUGGUAAGUAGGGGGUGAAAUCUCACGGCUCAACUGUGAGGCUGCCUUCUAGACUGCCGAGCUUGAGCACAGUAGAGGCUGGUGGAAUUCCCGGUGUAGCGGUGGAAUGCGUUGAUAUCCACAGGAACGCCGGUGGCGAAGGCGGCACGCUGGACCCCAUCUGACGCUGAGGCGCGAAAGCCAGGGGAGCGAACGGG